rnacentral:rRNA from 1 species
AGUGAACGCUGGCGGUAGACCUAACACAUGCAAGUCGAACGGCAGCACAGUAAGUGCUUGCUCUUACGGGUGGCGAGUGGCGGACGGGUGAGGAAUACAUCGGAAUCUGCUUUUUCGUGGGGGAUAACGUAGGGACACUUACGCUAAUACCGCAUACGACCUACGGGUGGAAGCAGGGGAUCUUCGGACCUUGCGCGAUUGAAUGAGGCGAUGUCGGAUUAGCUAGUUGGCGGGGUAAAGGCCCACCAAGGCGACGAUCCGUAGCUGGUCUGAGAGGAUGAGCAGUCACACGGGAACUGAGACACGGUCAAGACUCCUACGGGAGGCAGCAGUGGGGAAUAUUGGACAAUGGGCGAAAGCCUGAUACAGCCAUGCCGGGUGUGUGAAGAAGGUCUUCGGGUUGUAAAGCACUUUAAGUUGGGAGGAAGGGCAGUAAGUUAAUACCUGGCUGUUUUGACGUUACCAACAGAAGAAGAACCGGCUAACUUCGUG